CAGUAGCCGCGGUAAUACGUAGGUGGCAAGCGUUGUCCGGAAUUAUUGGGCGUAAAGGGCUCGCAGGCGGUUUCUUAAGUCUGAUGUGAAAGCCCCCGGCUCAACCGGGGAGGGUCAUUGGAAACUGGGAAACUUGAGUGCAGAAGAGGAGAGUGGAAUUCCACGAGUAGCGGUGGAAUGCGUAGAGAUGUGGAGGAACACCAGUGGCGAAGGCGACUCUCUGGUCUGUAACUGACGCUGAGGGGCGAAAGCGUGGGGAGCGAACAGGAUUAGAUACCCCCGUAGUCCCUGUCUCUUAUAC
rnacentral:rRNA from 1 species